rnacentral:rRNA from 1 species
CAGCCGCCGCGGUAAUACCAGCUCUCCGAGUAGUGUGGACGUUUAUUGGGCCUAAAGCAUCCGUAGCUUGCUAGAUAAGUCCUCUGUUAAAUCCACCGAUUCAAUCGUUGGAUUGCGGGGGAUACUGUUUGGCUAGGGGACGGGAGAGGUCGACGGUAUUUCCGGGGUAGGGGUGAAAUCCUAUAAUCCCGGGAAGACCACCAGUGGCGAAGGCUGUCGACUAGAACGCGCCCGACGGUGAGGGAUGAAAGCUGGGGGAGCGAACCGGAUUAGAUACCCGGGUAGUCCCAGCUGUAAACGAUGCAGGCUAGGUGUUUGGGCGGCCACGAGCCGCCCUAGUGCCGCAGGGAAGCCG